rnacentral:rRNA from 1 species
UACGAAGGGUGCAAGCGUUAAUCGGAAUUACUGGGCGUAAAGCGUGCGCAGGCGGUCUAUUAAGACAGGUGUGAAAUCCCCGGGCUUAACCUGGGAACUGCGCUUGUAACUGAUAGGCUUGAGUGUGGCAGAGGGGGGUGGAAUUCCAGGUGUAGCAGUGAAAUGCGUAGAUAUCUGGAGGAACACCGAUGGCGAAGGCAGCCCCCUGGGCUAACACUGACGCUCAUGCACGAAAGCGUGGGGAGCAAACAGG